rnacentral:rRNA from 1 species
GAUGAACGCUGGCGGCGUGCCUAAUACAUGCAAGUCGAGCGAACAGACGAGGAGCUUGCUCCUCUGACGUUAGCGGCGGACGGGUGAGUAACACGUGGAUAACCUACCUAUAAGACUGGGAUAACUUCGGGAAACCGGAGCUAAUACCGGAUAAUAUAUUGAACCGCAUGGUUCAAUAGUGAAAGACGGUUUUGCUGUCACUUAUAGAUGGAUCCGCGCCGCAUUAGCUAGUUGGUAAGGUAACGGCUUACCAAGGCAACGAUGCGUAGCCGACCUGCGAGGGUGAUCGGCCACACUGGAACUGAGACACGGUCCAGACUCCUACGGGAGGCAGCAGUAGGGAAUCUUCCGCAAUGGGCGAAAGCCUGACGGAGCAACGCCGCGUGAGUGAUGAAGGUCUUCGGAUCGUGAAACUCUGUUAUUAGGGAAGAACAAAUGUGUAAGUAACUAUGCACGUCUUGACGGUACCUAAUCAGAAAGCCACGGCUAACUACGUG